UAUUGCUCUUGAACGAGGAAUCCCUAGUAAGCACAAGUCAUUAGCUUGUGCUGAUUACGUCCCUGCCCUUUGUACACACCGCCCGUCGCUACUACCGAUUGAAUGGCUUAGUGAGGCCUUCGGAUUGAGGUUUGGAGACUGGCAACAGAUUCCGGAUUUUAAGAAGUUGGUCAAACUUGGUCAUUUAGAGGAAGUAAAAGUCGUAACAAGGUUUCCGUAGGUGAACCUGCGGAAGGAUCAUUACCAAUUUUAGCGAACCUGAUCUUUUUUGAUCAUGGUCUCGCGAAAAUCGUUUCACCCUUCAACAACCGGAAUCUCUGCUUCGCAUCGAUGAGACGUAGGAAGUGCGAUAAGUAAUGUGAUGCAGAAUCGUGAUCAUCGAUCUUGACGCAAUGCACUCUCUGCAUCGAGAGUAUGCUGUUGAGGGUCAGUAUAAUCAAAAUCGAGCGAUGCUUGGUGACGCACCGGAGUUUGGGUCAUCUAACUCUUUUUUUAAGAGACCUAAAAUUAACAUUCUUUUUUGCUCACUUUGAGACGUACAUAAUUUUUUUUUAUUCGUCUACCUGGUGGCAAAAAUUUUAUUAGAUCGUGAAUCACGUAGAGUGGACUCGCGUCUAUAAUUAUCAUGAUUUGACCUCAAAUCAGGUAAGAAUACCCGCUGAACUUAAGCAUAUCAAUAAGCGGAGGAAAAGAAAAUAACAAUGAUUCCCCUAGUAACUGCGAGUGAAGAGGGACAAGCUCAAAUUUUAAAUCCGUCGGGUUACACCUGACCGAGUUGUAAUUUGAAGAGGCGUUUUCCGCGUUUUUGAUCAGUCCAAGUCCUUUGGGAUAGGGCAUCAUGGAGGGUGAGAAUCCCGUUCGGCUGAUCAGAUUCGCUUUACGAUACGUCAUCUAAGAGUCAAGUUGUUUGGGAAUGCAGCUUAAAAUGGGAGGUAAAUUUCUCCUAAGGCUAAAUAACGGCGAGAGACCGAUAGCGAACAAGUACCGUGAGGGAAAGAUGAAAAGAACUUUGAAAAGAGAGUUAAACAGUACGUGAAAUUGUUGAAAGGGAAACGAUUGAAGCCAGUCGUACCGGUGGGUAAUCAGCCUUUCGGCGUGAUUAUGUGGAGCGUGAGGAGUUAAACGCCCUCAUGGCCUGAAUAUUCGUGUUCUUUGGGUGUACUUACCCGCAUGGUAGGUUAACAUCAAUUUCGAACGUCAUAAAAUGGUUGGAGGAAUGUAGCUUCGAUCUCGUAUUGAAGUGUUAUAGACUCCGGCAGAUGUGAUGAUCGGGAUUGAGGAUUGCAACGGAUACCCUUCGGGGCUACCCGUCUGAUCUCUGAAAGUUGCUCUGGUGCCGAAAGCUCGCUUACGGUCAUCAAAGUUGACGUUCAACAGGUUAGAACGGGAUAAAUUCGUUAAGGAUGUUGACGUAAUGGCUUUAAACGACCCGUCUUGAAACACGGACCAAGGAGUCUAACAUAUGUGCGAGUGUUU
rnacentral:rRNA from 1 species